AGGUAUGUAAUUUCUACUUUAAGAUUUAUGGAGGAUAAUUCAAUAUGGUAAGCUUAUCCUGGUAAACUACAAAGCAUGUAGAACAUUAGGUAAAGAUGGGACUGAUCUUAGACAUAAACACUGCAAUUAAGAUUUCUGCUUUUCCAUAUGUACGUUCAUACUUUCUGGUGAAAUUGGCUCAAAAUAUGGUAUAUAUUUUACUUUCAAGAAUACUCA